CCCUGUCUCGAAAAUCCAAAAAAAAAAAAAAGAAAGAAGGAAAGGAAGAAAUGGCGGCUCACAGGGGAAGGAAAAGAAGGAAGAACAGGGCCUCAAGUGGCUGAAGGAGAGAACAUAUUUGGUGUCUGCCACAUCUUCGCAUCCUUCCAUAACAUCUUUGUCCAUGGUACCGAUCUUUCUGGCAAGGAAACCAUCGCCGGGUGACUGGUGGAGUGAAGGUGAAGGCUGACAGAGCUGAGUCCUCUCCACAUGCAGCCAUGUUAGCUGCCCAGGACCUGGCCCAGAGGUGCAAGGAGCUGGGCAUCACUGCCCUGCAUAUCCAACUCCGAUGUCACCCCCAUCCCCUCCGACAGCACCCGAAGGAAGUGGGGAUCCUUGUGGUCGCCGUCUAAGCCCACAGGCACUUUCUGAAAGCUAGCCAGCGGAGAGAGGACGUUCUGUGAUCGCUUCGGCGGCCACAUACUAAAACUGGAGGAUCAUCCUGGCCCCUGUGCACACGGGUGACAGACUGCCGCAUUGAAGCUGAAGGGCUCGUGAAAGACCAUGGAGCUGGCAAGUGCUCAAGCUGAAACUCAAAUCCAAAUUCGUCUGACUCAUAAUUCAACGUGCAUUCCUUCCGCUAAGCUCCGGGGUGUAAAAUUUUAUGGAUGAAGAAACCGAGGCUCACAGACGUCCUCGGCCAUCAGAGCCACACGGUUCACUGCCCAGCAUGGGAAAAGCGGAGGGGAUGGCAUGGGUUGCGUGGAGGAGAGGGCCUCGGCUUGGGUGGAUCUGAGCUUGCGCAGGGCCACCGGGGUCCGGUUUGUAAAUCCCCGUGUUCUGGGGGGGUCCAAGUUCCACCCAAAGGCCGCUCCGCCGGGGUCGGUGGGGUCCCAAGGCCCGGGGUGGGCGCAGGACCGGUGCCCGCGGCGUGGCUGCCUGGCCUC